rnacentral:rRNA from 1 species
AGUGAACGCUGGCGGCGUGCCUAAUACAUGCAAGUCGAACGGAAUUUAAAAGAGCUUGCUCUUUUAAAUUUAGUGGCGCACGGGUGAGUAAUAUAUAGCUAAUCUGCCCCUUGCUGGAGGACAACAGUUAGAAAUGACUGCUAAUACUCCAUACUCCUUUUUACCAUAAGAUAAAUCGGGAAAGAAUUUCGGCAAGGGAUGAGACUAUAUCGUAUCAGCUAGUCGGUGGGGUAACGGCCUACCGAGGCUAUGACGCGUAACUGGUCUGAGAGGAUGAUCAGUCACAUUGGAACUGAGACACGGUCCAAACUCCUACGGGAGGCAGCAGUAGGGAAUAUUGCGCAAUGGGGGAAACCCUGACGCAGCAACGCCGCGUGGAGGAUGACACUUUUCGGAGCGUAAACUCCUUUUGUUAGGGAAGAAUAAGACGGUAC